UGUGUGUGUAGGUCUGUGUGUGUGCGUAUUUGUGUGUGAAUGUACAUACAUACACACACAUAAAUACGCACACA